AGUCUCCCGAACCGGCCAGCAUGUUCCGUGUUCAAGUCGUCCACGGGGUCGUCUCCUCCUCGCGCAGACGAGAGCCGAGCAGAGCUGCUGCUGUGCCAGCCAUCCCCGGUCGCGUCCCCCUCCAGUUCUUUCCGCGGGUGCCUCCCCAACCUCAUCCUCCACCUCCACCGCGCAGCAGCAGGCCCGGCCGUGCUCUACCCCGACCAGAAUCGGCCAUCUGAGGGCCGCUAGAGCUGCUGCUCCGCCCCCAACAUCAAGCUCCUUCCUCCGGCCAUUCCCCGCUGGAUUCGAGGCCUUGCUUCAAGAAUGGAGGCCAGGAGUGCCAUCCCCAGGAAGCUCAGUGAGCACGAGCUCACUGUAAUGGCGACCAGGGACCUCGUGCAGCAAUUAGAGUAAGUCCAGGGGGUUUUCUGCAAUGUCAUAGACUCAUAGGAAUAGUAUUUUAGGGACCAAAUCGCUUGAAACUUUGAAAAUCCGUAGAAAAUAGUAGGAAAAUGCUAAAAAUG